UUUGCGAAAUCUGAUUUUCUCAGGAAAAAGAAAAGAAUCUUACUGAAAACGGACGCAAUUUCCAAAACUAUUCCUACAAAAAAAACGUUACUUGCAGGUCACAGUCGGAUACAGUUUCAUCAAGACCCGUUUUGAGAGACCUAAAUCCAGCAAAUAUUGAUUCAAAAAUGGGCGAAGGCAAUGUUUCAUCCAGUAAUUCAGUUCCAUCAAAAUCUGUGACAAUGAGUUCUGCUGAUAGUGCUGGACUGAAGGGAGUUCAAAAGA